GCUGAGUGUGGUGGUGCAUACCUGUAAUCUCAGCAGCUUGGAAGGCUGAGACAAGAGAAUCAUGAGUUCAAAGCCAGCUUUAGCAAUGAGCAACUCAGUGAGAUCCUGUCUCAA
rnacentral:sRNA from 1 species